rnacentral:rRNA from 1 species
AACGAACGCUGGCGGCAGGCUUAACACAUGCAAGUCGAACGGGUGCAGCAAUGCAUCAGUGGCAGACGGGUGAGUAACACGUGGGAACCUUCCUAGGGGUACGGAACAACUCAGGGAAACUUGAGCUAAUACCGUAUACGUCCGUGAGGAGAAAGAUUUAUCGCCCUUAGACGGGCCCGCGUCGGAUUAGCUAGUUGGUGGGGUAAUGGCCUACCAAGGCGACGAUCCGUAGCUGAUCUUAGAGGAUGAUCAGCCACACUGGGACUGAGACACGGCCCAGACUCCUACGGGAGGCAGCAGUGGGGAAUCUUGGACAAUGGGCGCAAGCCUGAUCCAGCCAUGCCGCGUGAGUGAAGAAGGUCUUCGGAUUGUAAAGCUCUUUUGCCAGGGACGAUAUGACGGUACCUGGAGAAUAAGCCCCGGCAAACUUCGUGCCAGCCGCCGCAGUAACAC